GAUGAAGAACGUAGCGAAAUGCGAUAAGUAAUGUGAAUUGCAGAAUUCAGUGAAUCAUCGAAUCUUUGAACGCACAUUGCGCCCGCCGGUAUUCCGGCGGGCAUGCCUGUCCGAGCGUCAUUUCACCACUCAAGCCCGGCUUGGUGUUGGGGCGCCCGGCCGCCUGGCGGUCGGGGCCCCCAAGUACAUCGGCGGUCCCGCUGGGGCUCCGAGCGCAGUAACUCGCGGUAAAACGCGCCCUCGCUCGGCGGCCUCUUCGGGCUUCCAGCCGCUAAACCCCCAGUGACGUUUUUCGAGUUGACCUCGGAUCAGGUAGGAAUACCCGCUGAACUUAAGCAUAUCAAUAAGCGGAGGA
rnacentral:misc_RNA from 1 species